AGGGGGGACGGAGAAGGCUAUGUUGGCCGGGCGACGGUUGUCCCGGUUUAAGCGUGUAGGCUGGUUUUCCAGGCAAAUCCGGAAAAUCAAGGCUGAGGCGUGAUGACGAGGCACUACGGUGCUGAAGCAACAAAUGCCCUGCUUCCAGGAAAAGCCUCUAAGCAUCAGGUAACAUCAAAUCGUACCCCAAACCGACACAGGUGGUCAGGUAGAGAAUACCAAGGCGCUUGAGAGAACUCGGGUGAAGGAACUAGGCAAAAUGGUGCCGUAACUUCGGGAGAAGGCACGCUGAUAUGUAGGUGAAGCGACUUGCUCGUGGAGCUGAAAUCAGUCGAAGAUACCAGCUGGCUGCAACUGUUUAUUAAAAACACAGCACUGUGCAAACACGAAAGUGGACGUAUACGGUGUGACGCCUGCCCGGUGCCGGAAGGUUAAUUGAUGGGGUCAGCGCAAGCGAAGCUCUUGAUCGAAGCCCCGGUAAACGGCGGCCGUAACUAUAACGGUCCUAAGGUAGCGAAAUUCCUUGUCGGGUAAGUUCCGACCUGCACGAAUGGCGUAAUGAUGGCCAGGCUGUCUCCACCCGAGACUCAGUGAAAUUGAACUCGCUGUGAAGAUGCAGUGUACCCGCGGCAAGACGGAAAGACCCCGUGAACCUUUACUAUAGCUUGACACUGAACAUUGAGCCUUGAUGUGUAGGAUAGGUGGGAGGCUUUGAAGUGUGGACGCCAGUCUGCAUGGAGCCGGCCUUGAAAUACCACCCUUUAAUGUUUGAUGUUCUAACGUUGACCCGUGAUCCGGGUUGCGGACAGUGUCUGGUGGGUAGUUUGACUGGGGCGGUCUCCUCCUAAAGAGUAACGGAGGAGCACGAAGGUUGGCUAAUCCUGGUCGGACAUCAGGAGGUUAGUGCAAUGGCAUAAGCCAGCUUGACUGCGAGCGUGACGGCGCGAGCAGGUGCGAAAGCAGGUCAUAGUGAUCCGGUGGUUCUGAAUGGAAGGGCCAUCGCUCAACGGAUAAAAGGUACUCCGGGGAUAACAGGCUGAUACCGCCCAAGAGUUCAUAUCGACGGCGGUGUUUGGCACCUCGAUGUCGGCUCAUCACAUCCUGGGGCUGAAGUAGGUCCCAAGGGUAUGGCUGUUCGCCAUUUAAAGUGGUACGCGAGCUGGGUUUAGAACGUCGUGAGACAGUUCGGUCCCUAUCUGCCGUGGGCGCUGGAGAACUGAGGGGGGCUGCUCCUAGUACGAGAGGACCGGAGUGGACGCAUCACUGGUGUUCGGGUUGUCAUGCCAAUGGCACUGCCCGGUAGCUAAAUGCGGAAGAGAUAAGUGCUGAAAGCAUCUAAGCACGAAACUUGCCCCGAGAUGAGUUCUCCCUGACUCCUUGAGAGUCCUGAAGGAACGUUGAAGACGACGACGUUGAUAGGCCGGGUGUGUAAGCGCAGCGAUGCGUUGAGCUAACCGGUACUAAUGAACCGUGAGG
rnacentral:rRNA from 1 species